CCUACGGGAGGCAGCAGUGAGGAAUAUUGGACAAUGGACGCAAGUCUGAACCAGCCAUGCCGCGUGCAGGAAGACGGCUCUAUGAGUUGUAAACUGCUUUUGUACGAGGGUAAACGCAGAUACGUGUAUCUGUCUGAAAGUAUCGUACGAAUAAGGAUCGGCCAACUCCGUUCCAGCAGCCGCGGGAAUACGGAGGAUUCAAGCGUUAUCCGGAUUUAUUGGGGUGAAAGGGCGCGUAGGCGGUCGUGUAAGUUAGAGGUGAAAGCCCGGGGCUCAACUUCGGAAUUGCAUGUGAUACUGUGCGGCGAGAGAGUAGUUGAGGUAAGCGGAAUGUCUGGUGUAGCGGUGAAAUGCUUAGAUAUCA
rnacentral:rRNA from 1 species